GGACAUUUGAUAAAGCCAUCCACAUAUAUAUCUCACUCACAUAUAUAUUCCUAAAGCACUAUGCAACCACCAUUUGCUUUCCUUUUUUAUCUUUCUUUCUUUUCUUUUCUUUUUCUGUUCUCUCUCUCUCUCUCUCUCAUUUGAAUUCUUAUUCUCAUAACAUAUACCCUACAAGGUAUCUUCAAUAUAACCACAGCCUAUUCCUUUCCUUUGUUACAUCUUCAGAAAAAGAAAAAAGAAAAUAUAUUCUCCAUGCUUGUUCCUUCACUUGGCGCCUAUACAUUUAUAUAUAUAUACAAUACAUGUUAAAGGAGGAUUUUCUUAUUUGGAUGCUUCAUUCUUAAUUUUUGCAUGGCUAGUAGUAGUUGUAGUAACAGCAGCAGCAGCAGCAGUAGUGGUAGUGUAACAUCUCCUCAUAUCACUUCUUUCACCAUCUUCUUCUUCUUCUUCUUCUUCUUCUUCUUUCUGUUAUUCACUGUUCACACUGCCAUGGGUACCAGAGAGAUGGAAGAAACACUCUCACUUGCUGCCACUAGCAGAGAUGGAAGAAACAGCAUGCAGUUUUCCACAAGAAGAUUUGGUGCACCCAAUGUAAACGCCAUUUCAAAGGCUAAAAAGGAUAAACAUUUCUAUGUUCCUCCUCAAUAUAGAGGAAGGUUUAGAGGUCAUAGAUCUCCACUGCCAUGGCAAGAAAGGAUCUUCAAUGCAGGUGCACAUGAAGUACCCAGUGGUCCAAAUCCUAUUUCUAAUAGGUGAAAACAAAAAUCCCAUACCCAGGUCACCCUCCUUAUCCAUGUUUUUGGUUUGUGUUUCUUUUUUCUUCUUCUUUUUUUCUUCUUAAUUUGGGGGCUAUAAAUAUGUAUACAGAUAAUUAGCUAUUUAUUUACUUAUAUAUAUAUAGAGAGAGAGAGAGGUCUUGGUGUUGUUAUUACUGUUAUAGCAAUGUGGGAUGAGAUCACUACAGUUCAUUCUUAUUAUUAUUGUUUCUUUUCCAAACAGAACCUAUCCUUCCAAUCAUUUAACCAUGAGGAUGUAUAUGAUAAUGAUAUCUUGGAGAAUGUCUUUUCUUGAUGUUGAAUAUGGUCAUUAUUAUGCCACAUUUCCUUCUUUAUCUGCUUCUUUUAAUAAUUCUUGUAAAUUAUCCUUAUUCACCAUGUUUUAUUUUGUUCUUGAUUAAGCUGCUUGUGUUAAUUGGCAUCUAAUUAGAAUUAAGCUUAAUUCUUUCAUAUGGCAUUGUCCAAGUUCCUUCCAAAUUGCUUGUAUAAUAUAACAAAAUCAAUACAAAUGCAUGUGGGAAUUAAUCAGUUUUUGGUUUUGGAAGAAGCUAAAAUUAAUAUUAUAGCAACCAUAUUUCACACUCUUUAAAUUGUUGAACAUUGUAUUUUCUUUUGAUAAUCAGAGAUUUAUUUUCUUAAUAAUUAGAAGGGGAAAACUUACAAAAUGGGAAAGCUACCCAAGCCAAUAGGCUUAUCCAAAUACACCCAAAAGAAUUGUUGUAAAUUGUUCAAUUUUCUGCUUCUUUUAGAUGUUUCAAUCGUAGAAGGCUAGUGUAAAUCUUGAGAUAGUGCUAUCCAAAGAAUUUGAAUGUCAAAAAUGCUACCCUAACUUCUGCAAGUUGAAAGAAAGAAACAAAUAAGGGUUUAAAGGAUUUAAAUGGGAAAAAAUAAAUAAAUAAAUUAUCUAACUUGAGAUAACGGAAGAAUUUGACAAUUACAUCCAUAAAUCUAACACUCGAAUUUUGAGUUAAAUUUUCAUCACCUUAUUUGCCAUACAAAAGAAAAAAGAAACUUAUGAGCUAAGCAAAAGAGGUAGUUGUCAUUUCAGAGGUGAUUUAUACUGUUAAUGUACACUAAAAAAAGGGGGGAGAAACAUAAUGAUUAGAAAAAAAUGGAUGUGGGUUUUGGGAAACAAGUUGAAGGAGAUGACUGAAAAUGCAAUAAUGAAAAAAAAAAAGAGAAAAAAAGAAAAAAAAAAAGAAAGAAAGAAAGCCCAAAAAUUACCAUUGUUUUGCGUGUAAAGUCAUACGGACCUGGCAUCCAAAGCUGCAGGGAAGGGUCCCUUUUUCACUUGUUCAAGUAUUUUCCAAAAACACCCCUUCUUCACUUCUUGUUACCUUCUUCUUCUUCUUCCUCUUCUUCUUCUUCUUCUUCCUGUGACUGUCUCUUUUCUUUUGUGGUAAAACUUUAAAAAGGCCUUAUCUGCCUUCUAGACUUGUUUUUUUUACCUUCUUGUUUGUAUUCUUAAGUUGUUUGUUUAUGACUGCAGCAUCUACUUUCAGUUGUUUCUUCUGUUGGCUUCCUCCUGUUUGUAUGUUUUUAAAUAUCAACUUCAAAUUUUGAGAAAGAUUGAGAUUUACCCUCUAUUUUACUUCCUUUUUU
rnacentral:lncRNA from 1 species